rnacentral:rRNA from 1 species
AGUGAACGCUGGCGGUAGGCCUAACACAUGCAAGUCGAACGGCAGCACAGUAAGAGCUUGCUCUUACGGGUGGCGAGUGGCGGACGGGUGAGGAAUACAUCGGAAUCUACUUUUUCGUGGGGGAUAACGUAGGGAAACUUACGCUAAUACCGCAUACGACCUACGGGUGAAAGCAGGGGAUCUUCGGACCUUGCGCGAUUGAAUGAGCCGAUGUCGGAUUAGCUAGUUGGCGGGGUAAAGGCCCACCAAGGCGACGAUCCGUAGCUGGUCUGAGAGGAUGAUCAGCCACACUGGAACUGAGACACGGUCCAGACUCCUACGGGAGGCAGCGGUGGGGAAUAUUGGACAAUGGGCGCAAGCCUGAGCCAGCCAUACCGCGUGGGUGAAGAAGGCCUUCGGGUUGUAAAGCCCUUUUGUUGGGAAAGAAAAGCAGCAGGUUAAUACCCCGCUGUUCUGACGGUACCCAAAGAAUAAACACCGGCUAACUUCGU